rnacentral:misc_RNA from 1 species
AACUUUUGGCAAUGGAUCGCUUGGUUCUGGCAUCGAUGAAGAACGCAGCGAAAUGCGAUAAGUAAUGCGAAUUGCAGAAUUCAGUGAGUCAUCGAAUCUUUGAACGCACAUUGCGCCCUGUGGUAUUCCGCAGGGCAUGCCUGUUCGAGCGUCAUUUCAACCCUCAAGCUCUGCUUGGUGUUGGGCCCCGCCCGCUCGCGGCCGGCCCUAAAGACAGUGGCGGCAGCGUCUGGCUCCAAGCGUAGUACAAUCCUCGCUCUGGUGCUAGGCGGUGGCCUGCCAGAACCCCCCUUCUAUGGUUGACCUCGGAUCAGGUAGGGAUACCCGCUGAACUUAAGCAUAUCAAUAAGCGGAGGCU